ACCAUCCUCGUAGUGUGGUUCA
rnacentral:miRNA from 1 species